AUUGAACGCUAGCGGGAUGCUUUACACAUGCAAGUCGAACGGCAGCGCGGACUUCGGUCUGGCGGCGAGUGGCGAACGGGUGAGUAAUGUAUCGGAACGUGCCCAGUAGCGGGGGAUAACUACGCGAAAGCGUAGCUAAUACCGCAUACGCCCUACGGGGGAAAGCAGGGGAUCGUAAGACCUUGCACUAUUGGAGCGGCCGAUAUCGGAUUAGCUAGUUGGUGAGGUAACGGCUCACCAAGGCGACGAUCCGUAGCUGGUUUGAGAGGACGACCAGCCACACUGGGACUGAGACACGGCCCAGACUCCGACGGGAGGCAGCAGUGGGGAAUUUUGGACAAUGGGGGCAACCCUGAUCCAGCCAUCCCGCGUGUGCGAUGAAGGCCUGCGGGUUGUAAAGCACUUUUGGCAGGAAAGAAACGUCGCGGGCUAAUACCCCGUGGAACUGACGGUACCUGCAGAAUAAGCACCGGCUAACUACGU
rnacentral:rRNA from 1 species